UGCUGCUAUCAAGCGCGUAUCCGCUCGAAAACUCGAAUAAAGCGAAGCAGAAAAAGCGUAUCACCCUCACCGCGGAGUUGUUUUACCCGUUGUUGCGCUCAUAGUGAUAAGUCUCAUGGGAUAGGUGAAUAACCUCGUCAUUCUCGCCCCUUCCCCCCUCCCCCACCCUACCUGCCUUUGAGAGCGCGCGCAUCUCGCCGCUUUCUUUCUCCAUGCCUCUCCGCUCACUCUGCUCCUUGUCCCUGUCCACAUGUACACGCGACUGAGCCAACGCCUCAUAGUUUUACAUCCAGCACUUUUGACUGGGCGCACACCUCUCUUAUUCUCCCGCUGUCUCUCUCUCUCUCUACCGGGCUGUCGCCGCUCGUCACCACUACCUCUGGCGUCGCGGCUGUUGGCAGCCGUCAUCACUCUGUUUCUCCCCCUCAGCCCCACCGCGUCUGCAGGGCAACCGCGGCGCUUUAUCUUGUGUGCCUGCGUGUGAGUGCGUCUGCUCGGCUAUCCGUCUUAUCGCGCUCUCUGUGCCCACACACGCACACACACAUACACUUAAGGACACCUCUCUUUUUCGUUUGCUGUUGCUGCUGCCCCCCUUUCCCCCUCCCCUUCUCCCCCUCGGCCCUCCCGCCAUAUCUGCUUCUCGUUCGCCGCGGCUGUGCGUGUCUGCGUGUGUGCACGCGUUGUCGUGCUCGUAACGCCACCAUUGUAACGGGUGAUUUUCCUUUGAGAAGCGGAAGAGAGAGGUGAGGUGAGGUGAGGCUACGCAUCGGCGCCCGUGCACACGCACGCAGUGUGGGGAUUGCUGGAGGCAUCGGUCACGCUUGCACUGAAGAACACAGAGGGAGACCAAGAGGGCGACGCAUCAUUGGAGUUGAAAGUGGCUUCAUUGCAAGGUAGGUCGGUCACGAAGGUCUUCGCAGAGACGCCGGUGUUGCACGUGGCAGCCCUCUUUCUUCACCAUUGGCAUCUCUGUCCUCGUUCUCCACCUCGCUCUGCGGCCGUUCUCACCGCCAGCUUCCUUUUCGUCAUCCCUGCCUGCAACUUGCGACCCUUCUUCUGCCUUCCCGGCGUGAGGAGAAGGGCAACAACAUAGUAGGCGAAAUUUCAACCCCCGCCUUACGUGUGUGUAUGUACGUGAGCGUGGGCCUUCCGUGAACGGUAGCAGGGGCAAACCACAGCAACAAGAGGCAAGAGGAGGAGGACGCGGCUUUCUGCGGAUCGGAGAAUACGACUACUAAUAAGAUACACACACUGACACAGACACACACAGUCACAGACAGGGGGGCACGCACAUCCCUCUCCUUCCCUCUGCUCCUCCUUUGCGGGCUUGAAAAGGAGUGCUGCGCUGAGAGCACCGACCACACGUGACAUCCGCUGCCGAGUUAGACCUUUUCGUCUUCUCUCCCCUUCAUAUCCUCACGUGUGUCGGUUCCUGUGUUGCUUCGUGCCCUUUCGUUGCUUCUCUUCUUUUCAAAGGUUGUCGUGCACGCACGUGUGUGCAUGCGAGUGUGCGUGCGCUUGUCAGGUAUGCCCGUGUAUGCCUUUCUUUGCCUGUGCAGCACAUCUGUGACGCGUUUUCUUCCAUUCCCUCCUGCACGGCUUGCUUUUUUCUGGCGCGCGCCAAGAGAGGACUUGGUUAGGGUUCGGGUCUGGCACACGCGUCAAGAAGUUCCGUAAUACGCAGCGCGCGCGCACACACACACCCCUGCGCACACAGACGUGCGCACGGCACACAGCAACGCGAGGCACACGCUUCGUCUUCUUUCUGCUGCUUUGUUGUGUCUCUGCUUCUCUGUGCGCUCAUCACGGAUCGCCAGCGAGACGCAGCAACAGGAGAAACACGAACGAAGACAGAGGAAGACGAGGGCUGACGUUCGUGGAUUGUGUGCACGUGCGUGCAUACACAUAGGUACUGCAGAGCGUGUCCUAUCGGAUGAGGUUAGGCACAGCGCUGAGUUGCUCGUCCGCCUUGAACAUAUAUCCGCCUACCUUUUGCUGUACUCGCGUGCUCCGACGAAGAAAGGACCAGUGCGGUGCGGCGCGAGGGGAAGUUGUAAAGCAAGCAGAGUCGAGAAUUCAGUACCUCCCCCUCCCCUUUAUCCUUAUUUCGUUCGCUCGCUCGCUCUCUUUGCCCUCACGCUGAGCACAGUGGCCUUGGGUGACGGUUGUGUUCUUGCAUUCUUCAUCCUUUUCGUGUGCGCGCUCACUCUUCUUGCGCUUCCGUGUGCGUGUGUGUGUCAGUCUUACCUGCGCAUUCUCUUUGUUCGCCCGCCUGCGCUUCGUUUUUUUUUUUCCGUUACCUCUCUUCGCCCUUGCCGCUCUCUCUCUCUCGAUUGCUCGCUGUUGUCUGCCCGCCCUGCCGCGUAGUCGCGGGGAACGGAAAGUUGCACGUGCUAGACAGGUGGACUGUAAUGGGGUGUAAAAGCUUCAAAGGUCGACUGGGCCCGCUGAACCGCGGCGACGACGGUGACCCGAAUGAUCAGCUGCCAAGUGGAAAGAAGGGCAAGGCGCUCAAUAACUUCAACGGCGUGGCUUUUCGUGGCUUUGGCGUUGGCGCCCCCGCGCACAACAACGGCAAGGCAGGCGGCAACAGCAUCGCGGCGUUCCGCCCUGAUGGUGAGACGGCCAAUGCAUACUACAAGUAUGUCAUGGAGCUGCGCCGUGUCGCGGUGGCGCAGGGCAUUCUGCCAUCCGUGACCGACGACGCUAUCGUCGCACUGGAUGCGACAGGCGACAAAGACGGCACGCUGGCAGGAACUAAAGGCGCGACUGACAAGGCGUUUCACCGCAGCACGAAUGAUGACUCGACGAACGCCAGCGGCCAGCACGUCAGUCCGCCGGCGCGGACACUGACGGUUUAUCAGCUCCAACCGCUAGCCGGCGACACGUGUAUCGCGAAGGGCAUGUACAGCGAGGUUCACCUUGCGCACCUCUCCGUUUUUACUGGACUCUCGGAGGAGACGGUGAACGCGACUUUGCCGCGGAAUGCCCCGGCACGGCGAGGCAACACCGACGGUGCGGCCGCCUGCGCUGCCGGCCGUGAUCGCUCCUCCUUCAGCUUUGGAGGGGACGUGAACUCGACAAAGAGCCUCAACUCCGGCCGCGACAUCAUCGACGCCACCUCUGCCCAUGACGCGAACACGAUCGUUGGACCGGUUUCCGCCCCCGCUGCGACACCGACGGUUGCUCCGACCUGCGCAGCUGUGGCGCACUACAUCAUAGCAAUGAAAGAGUUUUUCCUGCACAGCGGCUACACCUCUAGCGUUGUGCUGGAGCAGGUCUGCCUCGAGGUGCGACGGUGGGCGCGGCUGUCGACGUACUGCCCGCGCCUCCUCCGCUGCUACCAGCUGGAGUACGUCUUUGCUGACGGCAUCUUCAUGACUGUGCCAGAGGCAUCGUACCAGUUCUUUCCCGGACGGGAAAACCACGGCGGCAAUGGUGGCGCGGCUGCUGGCGGGCUCUCCGCUUCCGGUAAUCUCGCCACAGGCACCGCUGGUCGUGCAGAGGAUCACAGGAAGCCGCUCUCUGGCAGCGGCGCCCACCUACUUGCCAGUCUUUUGAAUCGCCACUCGCACUCCAGUCCGAAGUCGCAGCAGCAAAACGCGGUCGGUGGCACACCGCGCAAGCUGCGCUUGUAUCUCGAGUACGCCAAGCAUGGCACUCUGCGUGGGUUCCAGGUAAAGGAGAUGCCGUCGCGCUUUGAGAGAAGGCGGCUGCAUGAGCUGACCGCGCGCGCCUACAUGCGAGACGUCCUCCUGGCGCUUCUGCAGAUGCACGACAGGGGCGAGAUGCAGUACGAUCUGUGCGCCAAGGCCGUCUUCCUUCACAGGCCGAUUCAGAGUGUCUACUACACGUACUUUCCUGCCUACAUUUCCGACCUGCCGACCGGCGACUUGACGAGUGUGACGCCGGCGCAGCUGGGCAAGGCGCUGGGGUUGCUGGACCCGCCGCCGGGAUCACUGGACCUGCAUCGGGCACCGCCGCUGACGAGCGACAGCACCAGCCAGAAGCGAAAGAAUUUUGAGAAUGAGCCGAUUAACGGCACCCCGUCGCCGUUGUUGAAGCACCGCCGUGGCGUUCUUGGCGAGCAGCGGAAAAACACGUCGUCCUCGGUUCAGCGCACCGGCAAAGCAGCCGGCGUCGAGGCCCACCGGACGCACAACGUCUCCAUGCUGGCGCAUAACACCAGCUGUAUGCCGCAGGUGCCUGCGAUGGAUGCCAACCCCAAGGAGAGCAACGAAACCUUGGGUGGGCAAGGUAUGACAGCCGUCCAGGCCUGCGAGCAGCGGAACGGUAACACGGUCACAAUAGAGAGUGGAAACACUGCUGAGGUGGCCCACGGCAACAACGCUUCCUUCACGAGUGUCCAGGAGGUCGGCUCGUACGAGUCACCGUUACGGGCAGCGUCCAUGACCGAAACCGGCUUUCGCGGGGGCCUGGUGGCCUCCGGUAGCCCGUCGACGACACACGCGAGCUCCGGCACCCACACGCUGAGCAAGCAAAACAGGGCCAAUAGUGUGAGCGCCUUUGGCAUAUCCGAGGCGAGCGGCGACGACGGCACCCACCAGCUCCGCUUACAUGAGACUUACCUCCGUUUUAUGAGCGAGUUCGAGUUCAUGCACACCCACGAGGGCGACGGCUUGCCCUUUCCGUCCCCGCACGACGGAGUGCGUGGCCAGGCGGAUGCAGAGAUGCUUGCGUCAACAAUGGCAUCAGAGGAGGCACUCAAGGCGCCGCCGAUGCGGGUGGUACCGCUGCAGAACACGAGUCUCGGCGGCGUUGCGAUCUUGUCGCCGGAUCACUACGUCGUGAAGCCCAUCGAAACGCCGCUGCACGACUUACGCGGCCGCCUCCCCAUUCUCCUUCCACCAUCCACCACUCACGCCGCUUUCUUCUGCGGGGGCCCGCAGCACCAGCGGCAGGUCACGCAUAAGUCGCCGAGCUCUUCCGCCCCGAUGGUGGUUGGGAGUCCCUCUACCGAGCCGUUUUGCGCGCCGCAGACUCUGAGCUCUGGGACGACAAAGCUGGACGCUGUCGGCUCGCUUGGCCGUUGCCGCGGCGGCGCGCCGCUGGUGAAGCUGAAUCACACCUCACUGAUCCGUCGCGCCUUGGGCUUCGCUGACUCUAGACGGCUAGAAGACGUUCCAGUGCACAAGUACGUGACUGUCACGCAUGCGGCACCAGAGGUGCUGCACCGUCGCCUAUUCUCGACCGCGAGCGACAUCUACGCCUUUGCCAUGACCUUUGUCGAGCUUGUUUCGGAUGGAGGUGUCAUUAUGGAGGAAUGUCUGCCAGCGAAUCUGCCCAAGCCUCUGACGCGUCGCGACAAGGACAUGUACGACGCUCGCCUAAGCGAGAAUCUCAAUAAGUGGUACCAGGCCCGCAUCACUGCUCUGCUACAUAACCACGACGCCGCCGGCAAGAAGGAGCGGCCAGAGUCCGCGUCGCCGCACGCCGGGUCGAUUGCGGUGCGCCUGCCGCCUCACCUCUCGGAUGAGUGCAAGAAGAUGCUACGCUGGUGCCUGCAGCCCGAUCCCGCAAAGCGCCCCACCGCCGCGGAGCUGCUUCGAUCUCGCUACUUCAUGCUGGGUGACUGGAUCGCGGCACCGUCGGUGGCCGAAGCCGAGGGUAAGACAGUGCAAAUGCCCGAAGCACCGUGGAUGCCCUCGAUCAGCUUCGACGCCGCAGCGAAAGCAGCCGGCCUUCCGGUACUCUCUGCGAAGCGAUAGCUUACACGCUCACAGAUGGACGGAAGCUGCCGGAAAGCUGUGUGUGGCGGUGGUGGUGGUUGGGGUGUGCGUGUGGGGGGAAUCGCAAACCCGACGCGUGUGAUUUUCGUUCGUCCCGCUCCCGACUCCUUUCCCGACUACCCAACGGAGCACCGUCUGCGCUUUUUGUACUGGCAUGCUCGUGUGGGCACUCGCCGCUGUUUCCUUCCUUACUCUCCUCAAGGCCUCUUCAGGUGUCGUAUGGCUCAUUAUCCCCCACACCCCACGGGCCGAUAGCAUCUUUGUGUUCCUCCGGGCUCCCACCCUGCCUCCUCCCUUUCACUACGUUUCUCUCACCCCUCCCCCACUCCUCCGGGUCGGGCCCUUGCUUGCGUGCUCCUUUUUCUUUGCGUCGGAUAUUGUUUUGCGUUUUGUUUCGUCGUUGUGUUUGCACACGUAUGCCGUCGGAUUCUCUUGCCAGCCGAUGAGACAC
rnacentral:misc_RNA from 1 species